AACCAUGGUGGGGACAAAGGGCUUGGAACUCUUCAUAUCUUUCACAGGCUUGGUAUAAAAUUUCACUAUCCUUUUGGACAAAUGAAGAGAUUUUCUUCUUAAGGGC
rnacentral:snoRNA from 1 species